AACGAACGCUGGCGGCAUGCCUAACACAUGCAAGUCGAACGAGACCUUCGGGUCUAGUGUCGCACGGGUGCGUAACGCGUGGGAACCUGCCCUUAGGUUCGGAAUAACUCCCCGAAAGGGGUGCUAAUACCGGAUAAUGUCUUCGGACCAAAGAUUUAUCGCCUUUGGAUGGGCCCGCGUUGGAUUAGCUAGUUGGUAGGGUAAAAGCCUACCAAGGCGACGAUCCAUAGCUGGUCUGAGAGGAUGAUCAGCCACACUGGGACUGAGACACGGCCCAGACUCCUACGGGAGGCAGCAGUGGGGAAUAUUGGACAGUGGGCGAAAGCCUGAUCCAGCAAUGCCGCGUGAGUGAUGAAGGCCUUAGGGUUGUAAAGCUCUUUUAACCGGGAUGAUAAUGACAGUACCGGGAGAAUAAGCUCCGGCUAACUCCGUG
rnacentral:rRNA from 1 species